rnacentral:rRNA from 1 species
UACGGAGGAUCCAAGCGUUAUCCGGAAUUACUGGGCGUAAAGAGUUGCGUAGGUGGCAUUGUAAGCAGGUAGUGAAAGCGUUCGGCUCAACCGGAUUAACAUUACUUGAACUGCAAAGCUAGAGGACAAGAGAGGUCACUGGAAUUCCUAGUGUAGGAGUGAAAUCCGUAGAUAUUAGGAGGAACACCGAUGGCGUAGGCAGGUGACUGGCUUGUUCCUGACACUAAGGCACGAAAGCGUGGGUAGCAAACGGG